rnacentral:tRNA from 5 species
GCGAAAAUAGCUCAGCUGGUAGAGCGCAACCUUGCCAAGGUUGAGGUCGCGGGUUCGAACCCCGUUUUUCGCUCUA